GGGUUCAACAACAUUUAUUCGACAGUUAGGUUUACCUGUCACCCAGGAGGAAGCAACAUAUUACAAAAGAGCACCUGUAAAGAUGCCUUAAAAUAAAGAGAGUAGUGACAUUACUGUUUGCUGUCUGUGUCAAAUAUUACCCCCCCCCCAAAACAAAUAAAACACAUUGACAACUAACUAAUAUAGAUGAGGCAUGGGAAUGUGGUGGCAGGUUACACCAGCAAAGUGACCAUGACAAGAUCAACAAGUAGACUGUAUUAUAAAAAAGGUUAUACUACUUUGAGUUUCUCCAGUCCAUGUGUGAUAAAUAACACCAUAUGCCAAAAACAAAAAAACUAAUAGAAUCAUUGGAUGAUUGACUCAGCCCUGAGAUUUUGACAUACAAAUACAAACAAACAUUUCUUAACCAUGUAAAUAAUAGUCCAAAAGUCAUAUUUGGUAAAAUGCAUUAGUUUGAUUAGAGUAAGUAAGUGACAAUAACAGCAGUAGCUCAUUUAGCAAAUUAUCACUUGGCUAAUUAAAAGUCACUUUCAUUGCAGCAAAUACAUCUACAUAAAAAGAAACUAAGGAUGGCACAAAACAGAGAAAUGUGUUGGUAGGUUGGUUUUAAUAUAGCUAUGUUCCAGUAGCCAUACUGGCAUUCGACAUAGAAAUUAAGCCCAGCUCCUUGGCCCUUUAUUCCACCUGCACUCCUAGGGUGGGUUUUGGAGUAGGUCCAUGUGUGUAUGCGUUGUGGCGUUUCGAACCCUCUCAGGGAGUGGCCUGUGGUAACAUUCACCGUCUCCCUGUAAGACCUGAAAUAAGGGCUUCAUGGGUCUCAUGUAGAACAACACUGCCCCAACUGUCGCUAUGGAGAAGUACACAGAGACGAUAACCACCAGACAACGCACAUCUAAGAGAACCCUGAACCUCCGUUUACAUCCAGGCCUAGAUCUGCAGCCAAACCAGCAUGCAAGCUGCCCUGGUUAGUUGUGUAGAUGUCCGACAGAAGGCAAUGUACUGGACACCCACUGAUUUGUCAUUGCACCAAAGCUGCUGAAGGUUAAGAAAAUAAAGAGCUCUAGUAGUACUGAUAAGGCUUUAGAAGAGUUCUGUAGAGAGAACUUCAGACAGAUUGAAGAAUGUUGACAGAGCUGAAAGGCUGAUCAGGGCAAAACGGAAAACCCCUACAUGUUGUAGACUGUUAGAAACUGGAGACCAACUGUAGCUCCACAGUCCCGAAUUGUUAGAAUUCAACAGAAAAACACUGAGGUUCUCUAAAUCAAGUCUGUUUACGUAAAGUGAAUUUAACUGGCACUAGCAUUUCACACAAAGACAAAUAAAGGUACGCCACUGUCAGAAAAUCUGAAAUUGAUUAUGAAGAAUGAUAGUGUUGGCAUAUUACCGUGGUCAUUCAAGAAAAUUAAAAAACCAAAAGCGUAUAUAGUCUCAGUCAAAACUGAAGAGGAAAGCCGAGAGCAGACUACAGGGAAAGAAAAAGACAAAAUCACUUCUGAUGGGAGUCUUAGUAAGAUGGAUACAGCCAUGGCCCCAAAGAAAUUAACCAGAUAAAUUAAAGAUCUGUACUGAUAGUACCAACACCACAAUGGGGGGGGCGAUAAUACUGCAGCCAGUAUUUAACAUAUCUAUAUGGUCAGUGCCACCCCAAAGUGCUUUCAGCAUCAUCCCUCCUCUCUAGAGGCAGUACAUUCACAAGAAUAUUGUACAGUACAGCUACAAUGUCCUCAACAAGCCUUCAUAUAAUUAUUAAAUGGACUGACAAACUUAAGUGCAAGUAAUCAGUUGAAUUGCAGGUCUUGCCUAAUCUCUGUAAAUCAGAACGAACCCGAUUAAUCAGGUAUUAUUUACAGCUUGAGAAUAAACCUGUCAAGAUAGACUUAUAGGAAAGCAUGGUCCUUUAUUAACAGAUAUUAACAGGUAGCUAGCUGUAUGGUAAUGGAACUGGUUCUGUAAAAAAAUAUUGAUACACGACCAUGGGAAUACUAGACCAUUCUGCAGUCUGUUCAGCACUCCUUUACAGCCACCAGCACCUUUACACAGUGGAGUCUUCAGCAUUCAGGUUCUUAAUAAUAACUUAGACAAACAAAUACACCUCUGGGUGAAUUGCAAAGUCAAAACAAAAGCCACAAGAUACCCCCCAAAAAUAAAUACGGCAAAUAUAAUCACAUACAAAGCUUUACAAAAAUUAAAUAUCUCAGAUUGCAUUAUGAAUAUUUACAGAUUAUUUUUUUUUUUUUUUAAAAGGGACAAACCUUUUUGUUAAUAAAUAACUACAAAUUGAUAGCACUUUGAGCAUGCUAUCAUGACAUGAAAACACUUAUCUAUUGGGGACCUUGGUUUACCCAAUUUCCUGUAUUCGGUUCAGUCAUUUGCCCAUGAAGCAGCCUGCACUGCCAGUCCAGUUCCACGUGAAGGACUGAGAGGUAACAGGACAUUAGGACAGCCGUGGUCUACAACCUAAACUGUGCAGACAAGAACACUAAGCGGUGAAGAAAGCAGACCAGUUCCAGAAAGAGUAGAAAACCAGUUAAGGUUAGUUGGUGGUUGCAUUCUGUCCCAGCGCAGCUGUCAGAGGACAGCAUUCCAGUCCAUUCCACUGUUACCAGGCUCACAGGAGAUAACUUGCAAAAUGCCAUAGCUGAACACCAUCUGUAAAGAAACAAAUACAUAAUUCAGGUUUCCAAACAGGCAGCUAUUGCAAUUUGGAUAUGAGAAGUGAAAAUGUAGUCCUUUGAGUGUAUUUGAACAUAUUUCAAUAAGAGCUCAUGUUAAAAUGCUGGAAGUUCCACUUUCUGAUAUCAAGCUCACAUAUUUCUCAUUACCUCAGACAUUUAAUUAACCAAGGACAGGUCCAAACAAGUCCAACUGGACUUGAAUAAACUAUAAUUCCACAAACCUGAGACCAGCCACAAUUGCACUCGCUCCUCCAACACAGUUGCACGAUAUAGCACAAAAAAAUGUAUGUAGACCGUAGCCCAGUGCAAGAUUGUAGUCUCAAGUAAAUUAUGUAAUAAGUCCCUAUACUUUCCUGGCUUGUUGAAAAACAUUAGCAGCAGCCAAUCAUGUAAAAUUCAAAGAAUAUGAAAUUGUUUGGAACAUCUCACAUCGAAUAAGAUUAACAGGUCAGAAACAUGAUGGGGUAUAAAGAGAGCACCCCAGAGAGGAUGAGUCUUUCAGAAGUAAAGAUGGGUAGGGGUUCACCAUGCUGUGAAAGACGGUGCAGGCAAAUAGUGCAACAAUUUAAGAAUAAUGUUUCUCAGUGUAAAAUUAAUCUACAGUACAUAAUAUUAUUAAAAGAUUCAGAGAAAUCUCUGUACGCAACAGACAAGGCCGAAAACCAAUAUUGGAUGGCAGGGAUCUUUGGGCCCAGGUGGCACUGCAUUAAAAAAAAAAGACAAUUCAGUAGCGGACAUCACUGCAUGGGCUCAGGAACACUUCCGAAAACUAUUGUCUGUCAACACAGUAUGUCGCUGUAUCCACAAAUGCAAGUAAAAACUCAUGCAAAGAAGUAGUCAGACAUGAACAAGAACCAGAAACACUGCUGCUAUCUCUGGGCCCAAGCUCAUUUAAGAUGGACUGAGGCAAAGUGGAAAACUGUCCUGUGGGCUGACGAAUCAAAAAUGGAAAUUCUUCUUGGGAAUCAUGACGACGUGUCCUUCAGGCUAAAGAGGAGAGGGACCAUCCGUCUUGUUAUCAACGCACAGUUCAAGCCAGCAUCCAUUAUGGUUUGUGGGUGCAUUAGUUCACAUGGCAUGGGUGACAAACAUCUGAAAAGGCACCAUUAAUGCUAAACAAUACAGUGGGGAGAACAAGUAUUUAAUAACCUGCAAAAUCAGCAGGUUCUCCUACUUGUAGAGGUCUGUAA
ensembl:lncRNA